CCUGUUACAUACUUUUCAACGAAUCUCGUAUACCCUGUUACUCUACGAGUAACGGGUAUAAUUAUGCUACAGUUAAAACGACGAGAUCUCUGCAACUAUAUCAACUAUGUCUGUGGAAAUACGGACUUCAUAUGUUGCACCAUGCUGGUCAAGACCCUGCAGCAAUGCUGUAUAGCUAAGGGCUGAAGAACAGUCUAGCCUUGUUAUUUUGGAAAGUACUCUGCGAAAGCUAAAUUGUGAUUUAUAAAAUCUUUUUUGGCAUAGUUUUGGGCUUACUUUAUUAAUAAAACGAAUAAAUUUUU